CCCUUAGACGUUCUGGGCCGCACGCGCGCUACACUGACCAGUGCAACAAGCAUCCGUCCUUGGACGACAGGCUCGGGCAAUCUUUGAACGCUGGUCGUGAUGGGGAUAGACUUUUGCAAUUUUUGGUCUUCAACGAGGAAUUCCUAGUAAACGCAAGUCAUCAACUUGCAUUGAUUACGUCCCUGCCCUUUGUACACACCGCCCGUCGCACCUACCGAUUGAAUGGUCCGGUGAAGCCUCCGGAUUGGCGCGCACCUCGGUGCCGCCGAGAAGUUGGCUAAACCUUACCAUUUAGAGGAAGGUGAAGUCGUAACA
rnacentral:rRNA from 1 species